UAUUCUUUGCUUCGUAAAAUCUCCGGUAAGUCAAAAUCUCUUAUCUACCAUCUUCAUUUUUUUUAUUAAUGCAAAAAACUUUGUUAGUAUAAUUGUUUUAUAUCUCUUGAUUUAGUAUAUCUAUGAUGUGGGUUUUGUAAAUGGUGUUUUUUAUUGAGUUCCAGGGAAGUAAAAACUAGGUUUAACAUUCUAACAUAUUUUUUGUUUCAUUGCUAAUAAGCCCCAAAACAAAUGAAAACAAGAAAAAUGAAUUAUUUUUAAAAAUUUUGUCUAAUUGAGAAUGAGAGAUACACUAGUUUGUAGUAAUUUUUCGCAUGAAAUAGUAUUUUAUUGAAGACUUGACUAUAUUUGAUACUUUUUUCCACCGUGCUAGGAGCUUUUUGGUGAAGUCUAACAAUAGAGAUUGACAUCUACUACAAGAUGAUACUCAAUUAAUCCAAAAGCACUUAAGUUAUUUAGGGUUUUCUUCGGUUAACCUAAGAAAACAUUCCCACUUUCUUUGUAUUGAGUCACCUAAAUAGAAUAGGAUAUUGGGUAUCAGAGUCGUAAAGGGUAUUAUAAAUAUGACUUUUUUUUUUUAGAGUCACCUACAUGGAAUGAAUUAUUGGUAGGUGAACAAAAUAUUGGGGUGAUUGUAAUAGUUGAAUUAGUAAAUGGAAGAUAAGUGUAUGUUGCUUUGUUUAUUCUAUAAAAACAAUAAUUUUAGUAGUUGAAAUUUACAUGCUUUGUUGUUUUAUAAAAACAAUAAUUUUAGUAUUUGAAAUUUUAAAAUGUGAAUGAAAUGCCUGAAAAUAUGUUUUGAAAAAUAGGAUAGUAAUAAAUGGAAAAUAACUCAUUUCCUAAAAAUAUUUUGAUAAAUUAAAAUAAUAUGUGGUUAAAAUAUAUUUUUGUUAAAGUAUUUAAAAAUGAAUCAAAAUAUUAAUAAUUGUUAUUUUGUUUGAAAAUAAUUUAGGAAUAUAAAAUAAUAUUGGGGAUAAUUUUUGAGUUUAAAUUGGGUUAUAAAUGGUUAAUUUUUUUAGGACUGUCCUUUUUGAAAAUAAUCCAAUGAUAAUUUUUUUAAAUAAGAAUGUUGAAAAUAAUUUUAAAAAUAAAAUUUUGUUGGUAAUGAUUUUUCUAAAAGUAUUUUAGGCAUAAAUGGAAAUUUCUUGUAUGAAAAUAAGAGAAUUUAUAUAUAUAUAUAUAUAUAUAUAUAUAUAAUAGACAUAAAAAUAGACUUCUUUGAUAUUUAAUAAACAAGUGAAUUUUUCUCUAAAAAAAGAAUAAAAUAAGAAUUUCUCUAGAUAAUAAAAUAAUUUAUAUAUGAGAUAGUUUUCAAUAAGAAAGUUUUGAAAAUAAAUUUGGGAUAAAAUAUUUUUUAGUAAGUUUUGUUUAGAUAAUUCAAGAAUAAAGUGGUUUAUUAACUUUUCUUAAAAAAUAACAUUCUUCUUUCUUUUUUGAAUUGAUCAAUUUUUUUAGAAAUAAAAUUGUUAGAUUCUAUUUUUUGUAAAUGUUUAAGAAAUUCUAAAAAAUUCUUUAAAAAUGAAAUGACCUUUCUACCACAUUCCUUGUAAUAAAUAAUUAUUUUUUUUAUACAUAUUGUAAAGUAAAAAAAAGUCUUUGUUUAGUUAACCUAAGAAGACAUUCCUACUUUUCUUUGCGUUGAGAGUCACCUAAAUGGAAUAAAAUAUUCAAUAUCAUAGGAGAGUAAAAAGUAUUGUAGAAAUGAUUUUGUUGAGAGAGUUAUCUAAAUGGAAUGAGAUAUUGGUAGGUGAAUAAAAUAUUAUGGUGAUUGUAAUAGUUGACUUAGUGAGUGGAGGAGAAGUGUAUGCUUCUUUGUUUAUUCUAUAAAAACAAUAAUUUUAGUAGUUGAAAACGUGUAUGAAAUGACUGAAAAUAUUUUUUGAAAAAUAAGAAAAUAAUAAAUGGAUAAUAGCUCAUUUCCUAAAAAUCUUUUGAUAAAUUAAAAUAACUUGCAGUUAAAAUAUAUUCUUAUGAAAGUAUUUAAAAAUGAACCAAUAUAUUAAUAAUUGUUAUUUUGUUUAAAAAUAAUUUAAUAGUCAAAAAAUAAUACUGAGUUCAAAUAUGACUACUUUGUUAUGAGAUUCAUUAAAGAAAUAAUUGUUGAUUUUACAGUUAUUGCAUCAAAGGUUUUACUCAUUUAAUGAAUUGUACAUAAUUUCAUACUUUCAAUUAUUGUGAUAUUAAUGUUAUUCUCAUUUGAUUUCAGUUUGAUGACAAAUAAAACAUAUUCUCAAGUAGAAUUUGAUGAAAUUAGAGAAAAAUAGAUUACUUUUGUGUUAUAACUAAUCAUGAAUCAUAUUGAUGUAUUGUGAUCAUUCAUGGUAAGUCCCUUAGUUGUUAUAUGAUUGAAUUUUCCAUUGAUAUUGUAUAACAUUACUUAUUCUUUACGAACUAUUUUUAUACCAAAAUGAGAAAAAGGAAAAAGAAAAAGAAUACUUAGAUUUGUUUAUUGUUUAUAGCAUCACAUUUUUAUUUUCAAUAAGAACUCUAAAACUAAUUAAACUAUGAAAUGCAGGUAUACACUCUUGGGAGGACAAUAUGAAGAAUAAAAAGAAAGGAGAAAGAGGCAACAAGAUUUAGGUUUUUAGAUAUGACUCUUAUGUCAUACAUUAUAGGACAUAAAUGUUACUUUAUUUGGAAUUGAGAAUUUUGGGUUUUUGGAUGCAACUCUUGUGUCAUUUUAUGGUUAGCCGGUUUUAUGCAUAUGAAAUGCAAGUAUACAUGAAUGUUGGGAAGCUUAAUAUUUCUAAAUCAUGUUUUAAUGUGUAUUCACUUUUCUUUUUUAGUUUUGGUGGGUUUGAUGUGUUUG
rnacentral:lncRNA from 1 species